UCUGGGAUAAGCCCGGGAAACUGGGUCUAAUACCGGAUAACACCUUCUUCCGCAUGGUGGGGGGUUGAAAGUUCCGGCGGUGCAGGAUGAAUCCGCGGCCUAUCAGCUUGUUGGUGGGGUAGUGGCCUACCAAGGCGACGACGGGUAGCCGGCCUGAGAGGGCGACCGGCCACACUGGGACUGAGACACGGCCCAGACUCCUACGGGAGGCAGCAGUGGGGAAUAUUGCGCAAUGGGCGAAAGCCUGACGCAGCGACGCCGCGUGAGGGAUGACGGCCUUCGGGUUGUAAACCUCUUUCAGCAGGGAAGAAGCGCAAGUGACGGUACCUGCAGAAGAAGCACCGGCUAACUACGUGCCAGCAGCCGCGGUAAUACGUAGGGUGCGAGCGUUGUCCGGAAUUAUUGGGCGUAAAGAGCUCGUAGGCGGCCUGUCACGUCGGAUGUGAAAACCCGGGGCUCAACCCCGGGCCUGCAUUCGAUACGGGCAGGCUAGAGUUCGGCAGGGGAGACUGGAAUUCCUGGUGUAGCGGUGAAAUGCGCAGAUAUCAGGAGGAACACCGGUGGCGAAGGCGGGUCUCUGGGCCGAUACU
rnacentral:rRNA from 1 species